GACGAACGCUGGCGGCGUGCCUAACACAUGCAAGUCGAGCGGAACUGGGGGAGCUUGCUCCUUCCAGUUUAGCGGCGGACGGGUGAGUAACACGUGGGCAACCUGCCCUGCAGAUCGGGAUAACUCCGGGAAACCGGUGCUAAUACCGAAUAGUUUGGCGCCUCUCCUGAGGCGCCACGGAAAGACGGUUUAGGCUGGCACUGCAGGAUGGGCCCGCGGCGCAUUAGCUAGUUGGUGGGGUAACGGCCCACCAAGGCGGCGAUGCGUAGCCGACCUGAGAGGGUGACCGGCCACACUGGGACUGAGACACGGCCCAGACUCCUACGGGAGGCAGCAGUAGGGAAUCUUCCGCAAUGGACGCAAGUCUGACGGAGCAACGCCGCAUGAGUGACGAAGGUUUUCGGAUCGUAAAACUCUGUUGUGAGGGAAGAACACGUACCAACUAACUAUUGGUACCUUGACGGUACCUCACCAGAAAGCCACGGCUAACUACGUGCCAGCCGCCGCGGUAA
rnacentral:rRNA from 1 species